CUGAGCCGUGUGGAGGGAGUUGUAAACAAACCGAAGUCGGAAACGAGUUCCGUCUUAAAGGGACAACGCCAGCUCUCCCGUUAGAUCAAAUGAUGUAAUAGGAGGCCUGGGAAGGCUGUGUGGACUAGUGGUUAAAGACUUGGCAGCCUGGGCUCUUCUUCAUCAUGUUGUUGUUGUUGCUGCUGCUGCUUCCUCUGUAGAAGAUCUAUGUGAGUUGCAGCAGAUUAAAGUAGAGGGUAUUUAUUAGCCAGAUCCUCCUGUUUCUGACAGCUGAGAUGCAAGGGAAGAUGGGGAGGGGUUAAUCCAGGAAGGUUCAGACCUUCAAGCCUUAUUGCAUGGCGUGGAAGCACGCCCCUAAUGUCCCAGAUGUUUAGGAGCAUGGGAAAGUCGGGAUGGUGGUGGAAGAGGCAGCUGCACUCUGCACAUGGUCAGAGGCCCCUUCACCUUCCGCGUUGCUUUAUGCAUUUCUAAAUCCUGCGGGCCUUCGGAUUUAAACAACAGUGGCAGCAUUUGCAACUGAGCUAAACCUUGGAAACCUGGCUCCGCCCAGCCCUUGCUUCCACACAAGGCACGAUUGUGGUAGCAGAGUACCUGCUUUGCAUGCAAAAAGGCCUGGGGUUGUUUUGUUUUUUUACAAUCGUAGGCAUUUUUCAGGUAGGGCUACGAAAGGCUGGAACCCUGGAGUGCUGCUGCCAGCUCGAGUAGACAUCACUAAGGUAGAUGGACCCAUGGCCUGACUCAGAAUAAAACAGCUUCCUGUGAGAUCUGGACUGAGGGUUCUUCAAGAAAGGGUGUUAUGGGUAGAGGCCUUCCUUUAUGCACCUCGGCUGCUCAGGCAAAAAUGGUAUGCGAAUGCAGAGGAAACAAAACCUUGCUAAAACCAAAGUCCCCUUUUGAUUGAAUGUUAUUUUAAAUGCAGUUUUAACAUGCUGAGCGUUCUUUACUUUCCCCCAUCAUCGCAAAACAGUCCUGCGAGCCUGGGAUGUUAUAAUCAAACCCAAUUUGAGAGGCCAUGCAACAGAAUAUCAGCCGCUGGGUUUUCCACCACAGGAACUUGCAUCAGACAAUAGGGAUAAACUGAGUAGGAGGUUAGAUUCAGCAUAUUUGAUCUUUUAAAAACUGAAGGCUUGCUUCUCCUCUUCAGCUUAAAAACCCAGGCUUUUUUAGAAGGCAUGUUUUAAUUAAUUUGCAGGAAAGCUGAGAGCAUGCAAAGUACUCUGAAUGCAGCUAAUACUGCUCUUGCACAAGUUUCUGCCGAUUGCCCAAAACAUCCCUUGUGCAACCUUACUGAAGAUCGCCAGGACAAAGGUGUAGGCAGGAAAUAAAAUUCCAAACCAGCUGAUCAGCCUGUGAAAGUCACGCUUCCUAAACGCCUAUGUUACAGACGGAGAAACUGAGGUUGGAUAAUUGCAGCUUGCCCAAGGCAACGGCGCCACGGCAGAAGCAAUGCUUCAGUCCAGGUCAGAUUUCAGCUCUCUUGUUAUUGAACCACAUGCGUUUUCCCACAUCAGGUCCAGUCAGCCACCAGCCUUGGAGUAACUUUAAAGGAAGUAAGAUGUACUGAUAGUGCAGUCCUAACUAUGCUUACUCAGAAAUAAGUCUCAGGUAGUUCAGUGGGACUUAGUGGCUUGUCAGCAUGUUCAGAACUGCAGCCUAAAACAUUGUCAAACCCGCCAAUGGCCUUUGACAGUUAUUCUGUGUGGCUGUGGCAACCCUUGCUGGCCCAGGACAUAUUCUGCACAGAGACAGAGUGGUCCUUCUGGGGCUCAGUCGUUGGAUUUAGAUCUGGGAGAAGACUUCCCUCUGCUCUGUAGUGGGAUUGCUGUGCAGCCUUGGUUAUCUUUCUGUAAAAUGGGAAUAACAGUGACUAGCCUCCUAUGGGCCAUGAGAUGCAAUAAAAACGUUACUGC